rnacentral:rRNA from 1 species
AGCGAACGCUGGCGGCGUGCUUAACACAUGCAAGUCGAGGGAGAACGGCGGGCUUCGGCCUUCCUAGUAAACCGGCGCACGGGUGAGUAACACGUAGGUAACCUACCUUCGAGACCGGGAUAACCCAUCGAAAGAUGAGCUAAUACCGGAUAUGACCACGGGAGUUUCGGCUCCUGCGGUGAAAGAUGGCCUCUGCUUGCAAGCUAUCACUCGAGGAUGGGCCUGCGCGCCAUUAGCUAGUUGGUGAGGUAACGGCUCACCAAGGCUACGAUGGCUAGUUGGUCUGAGAGGAUGACCAGCCACACUGGGACUGAGACACGGCCCAGACUCCUACGGGAGGCAGCAGUGGGGAAUAUUGCGCAAGUGGGGAAACCCUGACGCAGUGACGCCGCGUGGGUGAUGAA